rnacentral:misc_RNA from 1 species
UUACUGCAUCUAUAAAUGGUACGAUGUCAAGUUCUGCGUCCCCCAUUUUAUCAUCGUAAGAAAAUGUAUCCUUGUCAUAAACUUGCAGCUUGAUUGGGAGAAUUGGUUCAGUAAUACAUAGCGUUAAGUCUUCAUUCCAUUCGGGAUUAACAUUCUUCUUCACCACUCGAGUCUUCAAUUUCUGUUUGCCCAUGGUAACAACAACAUAUGGAUCACUGCUUCUUAAGUCUCUAAUGGCCAAAUUGAUGCCUCUGAUUAUACGAACUCUGAGAAGACCCAACUGAUUCUCCAUUCAAAC